CCAUAGCACUCCAUGUAUACACGUAUCGCUUAUAGUGCAGUUGCGGGAAACGAAAUACCGGUUACAGUGCGUCUGCCUGGGAGUACGGAAGUCAGCGGAGACGGCGAACGCUCCCCUCAAACGGGCGCCCCAAGGAGUGCUCGAGGAAGAAAGAGAGACGAAGUGGAGGAGAAGGGCAGGUGGUGUGAACGAACAGCCAGUGAGGCUGAAACCAGAAUCUUGAGUGCGUCUCGUGAAAUAUCACGGCGCGCAUAGCGAGCGAGGGCCACGAAACUGCCAACGCCGGCCAAGGCUCGCUUCACGAUAACGGCAGUAAACGAAACUUCAGGGAGCGGGCGGCGCCGGCACGGCACGGCGAAGGG